CUGAUUAACCUUUUCUUAUUAAUCUUCUUUAACCUAAGCAGUCCCAGGACACAUGGAAGAUUUCGAAUUGCCCAAAAACUUGGGGUAGCUUUAGGCCAGUCCAUGCCUUUUCCCAGGCUAUCUCUCCUACCUGCUUUACUGGUGAUUUUUUUUUUCAAGAUUUUUGUUUACUUUUUACCGUUUUGCCAUUUACCUGGCACUGGACUUUUUAAGCCAGUUCUAGCCAUGACUAGUGGAGAGCGGGCGCCUCAGGAAAAGGUGUCAGAGAUGACUGGAGGAACAGCCCCCUCCCCGUUACUCCCAAGGGUUCCUCAGCUGCUCUGGUCCCGUGGCUUAGGAAUGGAGACAGAGGGUGGGUUCCAGGCACAGGGGCUGAGGGGGCCGACCCAAGCCCAGCGGCUCUGUGAAACACGUUGAGGAACUUGGAUUAUUUUUAUUGAGGAGCAGAGGGAGAGAGGGCUGGAGAGGGAAAGGGAGAGGCCGGCAUGAUUAAUGGGACAUUCCUCUCUGUCCCUCAUUGGAGGGACGCCAGGCAGAAGAAUAGUUGUCAGGGCAACACAUUCUUUUCUUUCUCCUGGGCCCUCUGUCCUGUGUCACUCAGGAGGAGUGGCGUUUUGGGAGGCCAAGAGUGCAGUAUGAGAUGCCAAAGGGUGACAGACAGCCGGACAUCUAGGUUGAAUGUCACCUCUCAGAGGGGAAACUGAGGCCAGGAGAGAUGGGCAGAGUUUCCUGGUGGGGCUUACACAGAAAAUGAGGCACAGAGAGGCGGGUGUGGGUUCCUGUCUUGCUUCCAAGACAGGACUCAGGGACCUCUAGGCUGGGACAAGCAAGGAGGGAUGGAAGGGAGGUACAGGGUCAGGGAUGGGGUUCAGUAACUCUGGCUUUUCUAGCUAUCUUUGUCUGACCUCUGACCUCUGACCUCUAAACCCUCCACAGCACAUAUUCAUGUGUCCUUUCCUUUCCUUUCCUUUCUUUUCUUUUCUUUUCUUUUCUUCCUUUCUUUCUUUCUUCUUUCCUUCCUUUCUUUUUUACUUUUUGUUAAAAUAGGCUGACCUAAAAUUAGAAAUAAUCUUUCUCUUUAAUCUUGCUGAUGUCAGAAUGUAGUAAAAAUUUAGACAUGUCUUAAAAAAUAUUUUUAAAUUAUUAUCUUAUUGUAUGAGAAUGGGUGUUUUACCUGAAUGUAUAUAUGUGCCCCAUGUGUGUGCCUGUCGACUAGGGAGGUCAGAAGAAGGCAUCGGAUCCCCUGGAACUAGAGUUAGAGAUGGUUGUGAGCCACCAUGUGAGUGCUAGGAGUCAAAUCAGGGUCUUUUGGAGUGGACCCUGAUCCGCUAAGAUAUCCACUAAGAUAUCUCUCUCCAGAACCCAAGACAACUUUUUUUUUUUAAGAUUUAUUCAUUUGGGGUUGGGGAUUUAGCUCAGUGGUAGAGCACUUGCCUAGCAAGCACAAGGCCCUGGGUUGGGUCCCCAGCUCCGAAAAAAAGAAAAAAGAAGGGGCUGGGGAUUUAGCUCAGUGGUAGAGCGCUUACCUAGGAAGCACAAGGCCCUGGGUUCGGUCCCCAGCUCCGAAAAAAAAGAACCAAAAAAAAAAAAAAAAAAGAUGUAUUCAUUUAUUAUAUAUAAGUACACUGCAGCUGUCUUCAGACACACCAGAAGAGGGCAUCAGAUCUCUUUACAGAUGGUUGUGAGCCACCAUGUGGUUGCUGGGAAUUGAACUCAGGACCUCUGGAAGAGCAGUCAGUGCUCUUAACCACUGAACCAUCUCUCCAGCCCGCAAGACAACUUUUAUUACACUAAUUUAUCAUGUGUGUGCUGCAGGAUCGGGGCUGUGCACAUGCCCUAGCGUGUGUGUGAAGGUCAGAGGACAACUUUUAGGUGCUGGUUCUCUCCCUCCCCAUGUGGGUUCUGGGGACUGAAUAUGUGUCCCUGGACUCAGCAGCAGGGACCUUUACCUGCAGAGGAGAGAGGGAGGGAGUUGCCUAAGGUCGGUUCCCACCCUGUGUUCUAACAGCUAUGCUCCGCUGACUGAUGACUCAGGGUGCAGUCACCGUCCCCCCACCCCCCAAUCCUGGAUGUUUUUCCUUUUUCAUAAAGAACUUGUGUUUGACUGAUGAGCCAUGAAGUUAUGGGCCAAUGGGUGUCAUGGCAUUUCCUUAUAUAGAGUCCCCAGGGAUCGUUUAGUAAAACAUUCUUUUUUUUUUUUUGGUUCUUUUUUUCAGAGCUGGGGACCGAACCCAGGGCCUUGUGCUAGGAGGCAAGCACUCUACCACUGAGCUAAAUCCCCAACCUCUUAGUAAAACAUUCUUGGUACUAGGAGCAUAGCUCAGUAGUAAAGCCCCUGCCUAGAAUCCCCCAGGGAGGGGCUGGAGUGUGACUCAGUGGUUAGAGCCUCUGCCUAGACUCCCCCCAGUAAAGAACUAGGGAGUGGCUCAAUGGUAGAGCAUUUGCCUAGCAUGUAGGGGAGCCUGAACAUAGCCCCCAGCAGCACAAUGCAGGAAUAACAAAUACAUAAAAUUCUUCCUACUGGGUGUGGUGGCUAAUACUUGUAAUCCUAACACCUGGGAGGCAGGGGCAGGAACAUCACAAGUUGGCUGCCAGCCUGGGUUACAUCACAGGACCCUGGCUGAAGAAGAGAACCAGAGCAGCUGAUCCACACCUUUAAUCCCAGCAUUCAAGAGGCAAGGGCAUUCAGGGAUCUCUGAGUUCAAGGCUAGCCUGGUCUACAUAGUGAGUUCCUGGCCAGCCAGGGCUACAUUGUCCUGCUAUGUCCAAACAAAGUCAAAAACCUCUUUACAACCUGCUUGUUGCAAGAGACUCUUCCCAAGGUCGGUCACCAUAGUGCUGGAGAUUGUCUAGUGCGCCUGUUGUGUGGAACCCUGGGGCAAAAUGUCCCAUCAGGGUUUGAUGGAGCCCAGUACAGCAGCCACUGUUCUGGGCAGGACCACUGGAUUCUGUGACACCUCAGCCAGCAUAGCCUAGGGCAGGAGGUCACAGGUGGCUUCGGACAAUGGCCUCUAGAUGACCUGAGGCAGGAAUCUGUCUUCAUGAAACAUUAGGAAUUUGCCAACACCCUGUGCCACUGGCUGGCUAUGAAAACAACAUUCUCACGGCUGACGGAGUGGGUAGUACUGUGGAUUUCCAUCUUCUCCAGCCUCUCGCACAGACACACACUUUCCUCUGGUAUUUCCUUCAUUCCUCCCAUGUAAUCCCACUGUGGUACCAAAGUCCUCACAGGGCUGGGACAGCAGUGAGCCCAUGGCAGUGAGCACCUGUGAGCAGCAUCUGGGCUGUCUAUCGAGGCCAGCUGCUUACAUUUGUAUUUUAUUUUCAAUUAUUUAUUUAUUUAUUUAUUUUUAUUUUUAUUUUUUUUUUUUUUGGUUCUUUUUUUCGGAGCUGGGGACCAAACCCAGGGCCUUGCACUUCCUAGGCAAGCGCUCUACCACUGAGCUAAAUCCCCAACCCCGCAGUCAGCGCUCUUAAUCACUGAGCCAUCUCUCCAGCCCCUUAGUCAGGGUCUCUAUUCCUGCACAAACAUCAUGACCAAGAAGCAAGUUGGGGAGGGAAGGGUUUAUUCAGCUUACACUUCCAUAUUGCUGUUCAUCACCAAAGGCAGUCAGGGCAGGAACUCAAGCAGGUCAGGAACCUGGAGGCAAGAGCUGAUGCAGGGGCCGUGGAGGGGUGCUGCUUACUGGCUUGCUCCGCAUGGCUUGCUCAGCCUGCUUUCUUAUAGAUGCAGGACUAGUAUAGGAAUGGCACCACCCACCAUGCACUGGGCCCUCCCACUGAUCACUAAUUGAGAAAAUGCCCAACAGCUGGAUCUCAUGGAGGCAUUUCCUCAACUGAGGAUCCUUCCUCUCAGAUGACUCUAGCUUGUGUCAAGUUGACACACAAAACCAGCCAAUACACAGGGUCUCAAUGGUUUGCUUAGGCUGCCCUGAAACUUACUAUACAGACCAGGAUCUCAAGCUCAGAGAUCCUCUGCCCCUGCCCCUGCCCCUGCCUCUGCCUCUGCCUCCUGAGUGCUGGGUUCAGAGGUGUGGGCAAUAACACUUGGUUCAUUUUUUUUAUACUUUUACUUGUGUGUGUAUGUAUGCAUGUGUGCAUGUGUGCAUAUACUUGUGUUUGUGGUUACCUGAAGCUACCAUAAAAGGCCUGGAUCCCCUGGAGCUGGGGUUCCAGGCAGUUGUGAGCUGCUGAUGCAGAUGCUGGGAAGCAAACUCGGGUCCUCUUGGAAGAGCUGCAAAUGCUCUAACUGCUGAGCCAUCCCUCCAGCGUCCCCGCCUUUCAAAUCCUAUUAUUCUGCAGGAAAGGGUACCGAGAUGGCGUGUGGUGUACAUGGGGAGGUGUGCGUACCCGUGGAGGUCGGAUGCCAGCUCUCUGAGCAAGCUUGUUCUCUCCUUUCAGCUUUACCUGGGUUCCUACAAUCAAACUCGGGGUUGGUAGUGGCAAGCGACUUUACAGCCUGGGACGUCCCAUCUACAUUUCCCGGCCAGCCAUUUUGCAAGUAGCAUGCUGUGCUGAUAUACCAUGCUGUGCUGAUAUACCACGCUGUGCUUUGGGAACUUUGGUUGAUUUUAAGGCUCUCCAUAUGCUUGCCCCUUUUCUCUGAAAGAACUAGGGAGAAGGGAAGAGGCAUAGCAAGCUAGCACAUGGUUAAUUUUCUGCCUGACAUCUUGACACUUGAGUCUUGAGACUCUAGGGCAAUGGAGGCAGGCGAGGGUUAAUUAUCUGUGAGGAAAAGCUAUUGGUUUACUUUAUAGGCUGGCAUAGUUUUUUUUUUUUAAAGAUUUAUUUAUUCAUUUAUUAUAUAUAAGUACACUGUAGCUGUCUUCAGACACACCAGAAGAGGGCAUCGGGUCUCCUUACAGAUGGUUGUGAGCCACCAUGUGGUUGCUGGGAAUUGAACUCAGGACCUCUGGAAGAGCAGUCGGGUGCUCUUAACCGCUGAGCCAUCUCUCCAGCCCAAGCUGGCAUAGUUUUAAAGCAAAAUUUAAAUUUAUUUAUCUUGUGUGUGCGUUUUUGGACAUGUGUGUGUACAUGUGUGUGUGCAUGCGUGUGCGUGUGGGUGUGUGUGUGCAUGUGCGAGUGCAAGCUUGAGUCAGUGAGUGGAGGUCAGAGAUUCUCUCCUCCUACCACAUAGGUCCUGGUGACCAAACUCAGUGUGACAGGCUUUGGAAACAAGCACCUUUGUCCCGGGAGCCUUCUCGCCAGCCAUCCAGUUGGGCUCUUGGUUGAUGCUGGAACAGUUCAAGGGUCAAGGGAUGUAAAUUUCCCCUCAGUUGUUGGUAACACCUUCAUGAAACUUGAACAACUGAAAAUGAGUCUCUGGACUGGGGAGACAGCUCAGCUUGGUGAUCAAAAGCACUGACUGGGGUUGGGGAUUUAGCUCAGUGGUAGAGCGCUUGCCUAGGAAGCGCAAGGCCCUGGGUUCGGUCCCCAGCUCUGGGGGAAAAAAAAAAGAACCAAAAAAAAAAAAAAAAAAAAAAGCACUGACUGCUCUUGCAGAAGACGCUGGAUCAACUCCCAGUAUUCACACAGUGGCUCACAACUGUCUGUAAAACCCAGUUUUAAAUCCCUCUUCUCACCUCUCUGGGCAACAGGGACAAACUCAGUGAACACACGUACCUGCAGGCAAAACACUCACACACAGAAAACAAACAAAUCUUAAUCUUUUUUAAAGAAGUCUGUGAUUGUGGGCUGGAGACAUGGCUCAGCGGUUAAGAGCACUGACUGCUCUUCCAGAGGUCCUGAGUUCAAUUCCCAGCAACCACAUGGUGGCUCACAACCGUCUGUAAUGAGAUCUGAUGCCUUCUUCUGGUGUGUCUGAAGACAUCGACAGUGUACUUAUAUAUAAUAAAUAAAUAAAUGGGUUUUUUGUUUUUUGUUUUUUGGUUCUUGUUUUCGGAGCUGGGGACCGAACCCAGGGCCUUGCGCUUCCUAGGCAAGCGCUCUACCACUGAGCUAAAUCCCCACCCCAUGUUUUUUUUAAAAAAAGAAGGCUGUGUUGUUUUUCUAUAGGGUUGGGGAGGAAAUGCCCUCAGGAAUAUGUCCUGAAUAUGUGUCACUCUACAAGUUAAGGAGGGAGCAUGGAGAGUUUAAGACAUAGUGGGCUAACAUAUCAAGAUCCCCCCCAAUUCACUCACGUACUCGCACAUGCGCAUGAACACGCACAGGGCACAAACACGCACACACACACACACACACACACACACACACACACACUCACAGAAGUCUCCCCUUCAGAACUCCUUUUCCUGGAAAUCUGCUAGAACUCUCCCUGGCAUGGUACACCCAUUUUUGGUGCAUAAAGAUCUCCAUUCUCAUUUCUGCGUGUAUGUGUUUAGCCUCAAAUUGUGUUGGUGAGAAUGAUCUUCACUCCUGAUAUUCCAGCUUCCCUAUCCAUCUCCAGAGUGCUGGCCUCAAACUCACAGUAAUUCUCCAGUCUUAGGGCCCCAACUGACACCCCCCCACUGCCUCCUCCUCGUCCCCUCCACUCCCACCCUAAACCCCAUCCCCUCCACCCCACUCUGUAAGGGCCACCAAGCCUGCCUUUUCCCAUUUUCUUUAUAGAGUCACUACUUUGCAGAGAUCGCAAAGGCACAUUCUCGCCCCCGUGUGGCGGCAGCGGGAAGCACCACAGACUGAGAAAGUACCUACAGCAAGCAAGCCACAGAGCACCAAGAUCACAAAGCCUGGGGAUCCUUUUGCAAGUCUAGCUGAUCCCGAGUCCUGAGAGGAUUUAUUUAUAUACCUUAAAUAUUAAAAUCUGAUGCUUAUCUUGUAUUUGCAGGUGAGAGAGUUCGGAGGACGCGGGAAGGGAGUGAGGGGGAGCCCAAGUGCCUUAUUUUUGUGGAGGUCAGGGUCAGAGGACAACUUGCCAGAGCCGGUUCUCUCCUGCCUCGUGGGAGCAACUCACGUCAGCUGACUUGAUGGCAUCUCACCGGCCCUUCAUUCUUCAUCUUUUAACUCGUCUCUCCAGUCUCCCUUCCCUCCGUUUAGGGGCCAGCUGGAGAGGCACCUCGUCCAGGUGUACCCGGAUAACCUGCCCUAGUGACAGCUACCAAGGGGCUCAUGGAGAAAAGACAAAGCCCAGAGGAAGAACCCGGGCCCUGCCUUCAGACGAGCUACCUGGACUUUCCCUCCAUGCUGCCGGGAAGGGCAUCAGCCAGCUCAGAACUGCAGUACUCGGGGACAGGGAAGGGUCACCUGACAGGUGGAAGAGGAGCCUGCAUGGUGGGUGUCGCCGUCACUUACAAACGCGUAGUGGAGGCUGCCAGGAAAGCCAGGAGCAAGAGGCCGGCCAGGACCGGAAGGAUAGAAGUUAUGACGAUCAUACAGCCGCUCCGCCGACCAGGCCAUGUGUCAAUGGCGUUGGGGUUCUUCCCUGCACACAUAGGAACCAUUCAGAGGCUGCCUAUCCACCCCAAGGCUGGCUGCCCCUCCCCAUUCAAACUCAACACACUGCAAGGCUUGGCUGCCCCAUGGCCCCACAGAGCCUCCAUUUCCGUCAGCCUGGAUCAACCAUUGCUCCAACCUCUUCUACACUGGACUCACCUUCUAGACCAUUCCAUCCCCUCCAGUUCCCUACCACAGGCCCACAUACACCAGGCAGAUCUCAGGAUUCACCUUGUCACAUCUUCUUCCCUACAGCCUGGAAUUGAAGGCUUUCAGAUGACAGAUAUCUGUCACCCUACCCUAGCUUUGGUAGCUUGACUCUGAAGCAAGUGCCACCCCCAACAUGGCCUCUAGGUGGAGGAUAAUGCUUGGGCCCUUCUCCCUGCACACAGUAGAGGGGACCUGGGGCUGAAUGAGGCUGAGGCUGGCCACCCAAGCACGGGUUCAUAGUCGUCAACAUGGAAGUGUUUGGGCACACCUGUAACCUGUUCCUCGGGAGGAUGAGGAAGGGAAUCUCAAGGCCAUCCAGGGCUACAGAGGAGAUUCAACGUCAGCUUAGUCAACUUAGACCCUAUCUCAAUAUAUAAAAUAAAAAGAGACCCGUGACUGUA